UACGUAGGGAGCAAGCGUUAUUCGGAAUCACUGGGCUUAAAGCGUCCGUAGGCGGCUCGGAAAGUAGGGUGUGAAAUCCCACGGCUCAACCGUGGAAUUGCGCUCUAAACUAUCGAGCUAGAGGGAGAUAGAGGUGAGCGGAACUGAUGGUGGAGCGGUGAAAUGCGUUGAUAUCAUCAGGAACACCGGAGGCGAAGGCGGCUCACUGGGUCUUUUCUGACGCUGAGGGACGAAAGCUAGGGGAGCGAACGGG
rnacentral:rRNA from 1 species